AUCAACCUGAAAUUACAGUCAAAUACAACAAAGCUUUCAUGGUUGAGCUGGAAUAUAGUCUGUUAAAGAUUAUCAUUUCAAAGUAUUUUUUAUCAUAAUAAUGUAAUCUGAUUACAUUUGAUCACUAUACUAAAUAUAAGGUUUGUGUUUAUGAAACAGGCGCAGGGUCUUUCACAUAAUUAUAGCAUGCACAAAUGUUGGCAAGGUUGCAAGUAGCAAGUAAGAAUUAGAAUACAUUUGUGCUGCAUGUCUGGUAUACUAAUUUCACUUCCCAAGCCUGUCUACAUCCCCAGGUGUGACUGAAGGACAGGGAGGGGCGGGGAAGGAAGGAGGUGCAGACAAAAGAGAGAGUGUGAUAUGGAGGAUGUGAACGCCGUAAGAGUAUUUGUUCUAAGAAUACCAGUGAGAAGAAAAAUGGGAGUAAGACCAGGCCGGGAGUGGGAUCAGAAUAGCACAGAGGAACAACUGAUGAAAAGAAGAGGGAAUGGGAAAGGCAUGGAGCAAUGUGACUGGAAGAGAGAGAGAAAAGAGUGAGAGCGAAACAUUGCCAGCGCCACUAUUGAUGCUAAUCCGGUGCCAAGCGCCCCCCCAUCCUCCCCAGACCCCCCUCCGCCUGUCAUAAAAACAGGUGGAGCUCAGCUCCGCUUGUGGUCCCGGCCAGCCGACGAGGCCUUAUGAACAAAUAUGCUCAAGGCUACUCCCCGUGUGUAGGCCGACUGCGUGGGAGGUUGCUGAUGGGUCCUCAGUGGGUGGCGUUGCAUAAGAACGUCAGUGCCGAAGUAAGUAUAGCACAAACACGUGGACUGAGCCAAGCACACACACGCUGGUGUCUGAGUCAACUGUGUGGACUGUGAUUUGUAGAAAAAAGCCCACUGAGCAGCGGCGGCGUGUAAACACGAGACUACACCAGACCAACAUUGUAGAUCAGAUAGAGAGAGGGAGGCAGACAGAACAACAAAGACAAGGAAAAAAUAAAAAGAUUCCCUCUCUAAAGGUGAAAAACGUCAUUAAAUCAACACCCAGCUCAAAUGAAACAGACUGUUGGGGGUUCAUUAACAUAACAGCAGAAUAUCCCAACACACUGAUUGGCUGAUAGUAUUGCUCAUC